CCCAGAGCACGCAUGUUAAUGGCAGGCUGGGACUGGCUGACACCUUUAUAGUUGCCCACCACCCUCUUCAUCAGCUUUACUCAUCGGACCCAGGCUUUCUUCACGGUGGCGACGGGCCCAGAUUAAAAAACCCAAAACUAUUUUUCCCAUUCUCCCUGGUGCGUUGGGAUGCUGCGUGACCCAUUCUGGCCCAUGAAAUACAAGCAGAUUCACGGGGUGAGGCUUCCAGCAGAGUCUUUAAAGGGAGGUCACCCAACUGGUAUGGGCUUCUAGCUCUUUGCCAGUCCCUCUCUUCUUGCUGGGAGCACAGACAGGAUGCCGGAGUGGAAGCAGCCAUUUUGUGAUCAUGAGGGUCCGGUCUUCUUGGUAGGGGAGGAGGACAAUCCCUCUGUGAUUGAAGCCCCAGCCCAGUGUUUUGUCUUGUUUUGCUUUUUGAUUCUGUUCCUCGCAGCUCAGCGUAGUCCUGACUUGUGUCUAGAGGUGAAAGGACGCUGAAGAAAUACCCAGUUCAGUGAUGUUCAAGUUCUGUGUUGCAUCUGGGCUCUGGGACACCUGCAAAACCAGUGGGAGGCAGGAAAACUGGAGGGACCCUGUGGAGAAAAGCCGUGGUUUUGUUUGGUUUGGUUUUGUUUUUUGCCUUUGCUUCUUUCCCCGCUUCCGUUCUUGCUGGGACCUGCACGCCGGCCUUACACACACCUUAAUGCCUGUCCUCCUCGUAAAGCUCAAGGAGUUAAUGAUUCCUUUGGAGACUUCCAGCACCACAGAUAAUCUAAGGGGUGACCGGGCAGGGUCGUCCUAAACAUUCUCCAAGACCACUGACUCCAGACACCCUGACGCCAAGACCCUGGGCUUCAGGGCGUCAGUGAAGGACACUCGGACCCCGGCCCUUGAUCGGCCCACUUCCUGGAUGCCCCACAGGACACGUGCACCAGGCCACAAUCGUCAAUAAAAACCCCAGACGCCCAGCAAAGACGAAGUUCUCUUCUCUCCUUUCUGAGUCUCCUGGACACUCAGUCCCUCUGUAUCUUCUCUCUCUCUCUCUCUCUCUCUCUCUCUCUCUCUCUUCAGUAAACUCUGCUUUCACCUCUUGCUGGCUCACCUUUGAGCCACUCCAUCCUGUGUGAAGCUGACGGCCCUCUUGGCUGGUCCUGUGGGACCCCCUCUGGGUCUCUGGGCCUGGCCUGCUAGCAUCAAUUGAGUGUGUGUGUGUGUGUGUGUGUGUAUUUAUGUAUAUUUAUACAUACGUAACCCUCAAAUUUCCAGGCCCUGUGGGAGGAGGACCCCAUCUCCCUGCUUAAAAGAGAACAGCUGUUUUUCCAUUGCUAAAAUGGUGUAAAAGCCACCGUUUCAUCACAUUCUAUGUAAAGGUGGGGAAACUGAGGCUCAGCGACAAGGUGGCUUCACGUUGAGGAUAAAGAGGCCCCACAGUGCCUUGCGCGGAGGAGGAGGCCGGCAGCCACAGAGGGACUCCGCCACAGCCAGAGGCGUCCAGGGUUUUAGGAAUGGGAUUGAGGAUCGGGAGCACAAAAGAGGAGAAUUGAUGUUCGGCUUUUGACUGAAUAGGAUCCUGCAGUCUUCAGCCAGAUAAUGGUCUUGAAAGCCGGGCUUUGUUGAGAGAGGGGAAGGCUUUGUGCUGUGGAGAUCACCACCGCCACGUGAUUGAUGACGGUGAUUACAAGGCCAUGAUCUACUUGGGGGACCCUCCCGGCAUGUGACAGGAGACAUUCACAGCGAUUAGUCGGGGGCCGCACAGGAGCUGCUUGCUGGCUUCCAGGCGUGUCACGGCAGUGGGUUCUGAGCCAUCACUCUUCCUACGGUGGAUGAGGAGGCCCAGAUGCGCCUGGCAAAAUGAUGUACAAGAAAGACUCAUGCGUCUUGCUCCAAUUAAGAUGUUGGAAGAGAAGAGAGUCUAAUUGUCCCACAAUUACCUUUAUUUAUCAAACUCAGAAUGAAGUGUGAUUAUGAAGUGUCUCAGGAGAAGAGUGCAGAGUUGGGGAUGGUCCAGGCCCUGCCUGGCGUCCCAGCCGCUGCGGGGGAGGAAGGACAGCCACGGCGGCACCUGCGGACGGCCUCCCCGUGGAGGAAGCCAGGUAGAUGAGCAAGGUGAGUUCUGGCUCCCGCUCUGCCACCGGAUUGCAGGGGACUUUGUCCCUUCCCGCAGCAUCUGGGACAGACCUCCAGCAGAUUUUCCAUAAACGUUUGUUGAAUCGGUGGGUGACAGGUAAGGCGACUUAGGCUCAUGAGGGCUCAGUAAUUUACCUGAGGACACACAGUCAAUAAUUCUCAGAGCCACAAGUCAGUGUGUUUGACCGAGUGGAGUUCAAGUGCUUUGAAACACAGGACCAAGGAUAAGCCGAAGACAUUGGUUUAUCAUUGCACGGUCACACACCCACAAUAGACCAAGGACCACUUGGAUGCAUCAGAAUAAACGUUCAGAAAGAAAAGAAUGAACGAACUGAUUAUACGCCAGGCUCUGUUUUAUGCACCAGUGGUGCAGGUGUCCGUGAAACACCAUCUCUAAUGUCAAGAAACAGUCUAGUGGGGAGACAGAGCUGGCAAGGCAGUGUGACAUGUGCAGUAAAUGCAGAAUGUCUGGGUCCCACAGGUGGCUGGACCAGGGUGGGGGCCAGGAAGAAUUUCCUGGAAUGUUUGACAUUUGGGAGCAGUCUCAAAGGAUGAGGGAGGGAUGGGAUAGAUAAGCCAAGGAGAAAAGCCUGUGCAAAGGCCCUGGAGGUGAAAAGGUUGACCCUGCCGGGCUGACCUGUCUGUGUGCAGGUGGGCACCGGAAGCUGUGGGAUGGGAAGUGGUGACCCUGGGCUGGCCCCGGCCCUGCCUGCUGGGCCAGCCAUCCACUCUGAACUUGCAGACUCCGGAGGCCCCCCGCUGCUGCCACACCCUGCCAGCUCCCGUGGCACGAGAGGGGAGGAGGAAGCAAUCUUAGUUUGCUCAGUUUCCUGUGGUCCUUCCGUAAUCCCUGUGCUGGCUCCAAGGAGCAAUGGCUCAAGAUAGCUUUGCACAGCAGGAUGGAUGGCGGGCCACAGACGGGCUCUUCCGACCUGGGGCUCCUUUUAUAUCUGUGUGUUGGCUGCUGCCUGGCCACAGCCCGUGCAUGCCCAGCUGUGGCCGAGCGGGCAAGAACCAAGGGGGGCUGGCAUUUGUAGAGGACGGACUAGGAGCUACUCACAGUCCUGGGGGCUUUCACACAUGGUCUUCUCACCGACUCCUCAUUGCAGCCUGGAGGUGGCGCUGUUAUCCCCAUUUUGUAGAUGAGAAGGCAAAUGCUCAGGGGGGUUAGGAAGCGGGGCCGACGUUUGGACCAAGAUUGUCUUGGUCCACUGUGUCAGGACCAGCCAAGCAACUAAAGGCAAAUGUUGGUCCUACCGGUAGGUCCAGGGUGUGUGAAAUAGGGAGUGGGCAUGAGGGCCUGGGGGAAAGUGCUGGAAAAGUUCAGUUCUCCUCAGCUAAUUCUGACUUUGAGUGCCUUGAGUGGCCCUUCAUAGGAAGACAAUAACACUGCUGAUGGUCCUUUAUAUUUUAAUACACUGUAUAUCCAUACAUGCACUCAUCCAACUCUCCAUCUCCAUGUCCAUCCAUCCAUCCACGCAUCCUCCCAUCCAUCCAUCC